GUCUAUGGCUAUGCUACCCUGAAUAAGCCCGAUCCCAUCUGAUCUUGGAAGCCAUGCAGAUUCGGGCCUGGUUAGUACUUGGAUGGGAGACCACCUAAGAAGACCAGGUGCCAUAGGUG
rnacentral:rRNA from 1 species